CACAGGAAUCCACUCCUGGUCAACCCCUUGACGUAGUAAGCAGUCAUCAAGGGGUCACCCACAGGCCCGAUGAGGGUGAUGACUGGCUCCUGGCAGAUGGAAGUCCUUGAUCUGGAAAGUGUUAAAUUUCCCUCUACCUGGUUCAUUUUCAAGAAAUGCAGACAUUCGUGGUAAAAGACGGCAAUCCCGGCCAUGAUGGAGGAUGUGGUUACAUUUCCGACCCCGUCCCACCACACGUCGGAUCUUUCCAGCAGCUCCAUGUGCUGCGUCCUUGAACCAAGCUUCAGCAUUUGCCACCCCAUCCCCUCUCUACUCGUCAUCCCUGCCACUUGAAUGCUGCCGCUGGAGAUUCCCUUCAAUAAUGAUAAUGACAGUGAAUAUUGAUUGAGCACCUACCGUGCGCUGGGUAUCUCACUGAAGGCCAGGCAUGGAUGACAUCAUUUGCUCCUCUCCAUAACUUGUGAGUUCUGUAUUCCCAUUUUACAGAUGAGGACAGCGAUGUUAGGGAAGUCACAUUAUGUACCCAUGGAUACACAACAAGGAGACACCGAUCUGGGAUUUGAAUGCUGCAGGCUGAUUCCCUAGCUUGUUCUUAACCACCGAGAAACCCUGCCCUCCAUUGACAAGCCGGCCUCAUCCAUUGCUGCCAUCCAUGGACUCCUGUGGAUCCCUGUUGCUCAUAAAGGCCACAAACACUCCAUUAUGGAAUCCACAUCUUUUAAAACUGGGUUUCUGGUUCAUCUCCUGGGCUCUCCUUCCGGCCUCACCUUACCACCAUCACUCUGCUCUCCGGACAGACCAGACUCCCCCAUCACCUGGCCACAUGGCCACCUGCACACAUGCCAUUUCCUCCGACGACCACUGCCAUACUUUCCCCACCAGUCAAAGUCCUCUGCAGGCCUGAAGACCCAGCCCUCCAGUUCCGUCCAUUCUGAAGUCACAGGUGACUUUUCAGUCCCUCUCAGGGUACUGUCAGAGCACACCAUUCCUGUUUGGAUUUAACCUUAUCACGUUAUGCUGUUCAGGGCAUUGGAGAAGAGCACGGUGUGUGGGUCCGCCCAGCCUCUACUUCUCACUAACUGUGUGACUGUGUUCAGGUGACUUCACCUCUCAGAGCGGUGGUGUCCCCCAUCUGCAAAAUGGCUCUGAAAACGGGGUUAACUGCCUCCCAGGGCUGUCCUGAUGCUGCGGGGGGGAGCUGGACUCUGGACUACUGGACAUAGGGUUGGAGAGGUUGCCCGGGAUCCCCUGGCCCCUGCUUCAGGUUUCUCCUCCCAGGUGCAUUUACCUGGGAACUGGAAGAUGCCUGGGCCUGUGUAAGGCUUUCCUGGUAAGGUCAUAGAUGGCGCGGGUUCUCUCAGAAAGGAGGUGGAAGCUCCAAGCAAACAGGGUUCAAGGGCCCCAGGAAACAAGCUUCCCUGGGGUCUGGCUGGCCAGUGGCUUUUGGGGUAGGUCUAAGCUCACAGAGCUGCAUGGGGUGGGAAGGGCUGGGGCAAGGCCUUCUCCACCAACCAAGGCCCAUCGAGGAGUCUGCAGAGGGGUCACCAAGAUAAUCGUGACCAUCACGGGCACAGGACAAAGUUAAGAGCUUUACAAAUGCUACUUAUUUUUAAUCACUGUAACAGGACAGACCUGUUCUUUACCCUCUGCUUGUGGCAUCUCCCCAUGGUCUCGGAGGGCUGAGGACUGGGGUCAUCUCCCUGGGUACAGAAAGGACAGUGGGCUGAGGGAAAGGGCACCUGACCUAUUAGAAAUGUGUGAGAGUGUAUGUGCCUGUGUAUGCCAGUGGGCACCUGCAUGAGCACCCGAAUCGCAUCCAGUGAGCACCCCACUGCCCUCACACCCAGACACGUGCAUGGGCAUGCACACUCAUAUGCCUGCGCACACCCUCCCCCCCCUCACGAAGCCGGGCACGUACCCCUCCUUUGCCAUCCCCUCUUCUUCCUCUCUCUGCCCCAACUUGUUCGGUUGCCUCAGGAAAACCUCCCAUCUUCCCCAAACCUGCUGCCGCAGCCCAGUGCCAAACUCCAGGGGCCUUCAGUCCUCAGUGACUGAGGGGACGGGUCCAGCCUGCAGCACGGAGGAGAAAACGGCCGCCAUCUCUGCAUGGAGCCGUGCUCCCAGUGGGAGGAGGUCAAAGCCCACGCAGUCUGCCGCUGGGGCUUGCGGCGUGGCCUCGGGGUACUCCCUGCCUCAGCUGGGCCCCUGGACCCUGCACGUGUGGCUCCUUUGCCAAGAACCCUUGUUCCCCAUCCUCCUCUUUGCCUAAGUCUUCCUCCAUCUUCCUAAACAUCACCACCUCCAAGAAGCCUUCUCUGAUCCCCAGACUGAGUUAUGCCUCCUCUGGAUGCCCUCAGUUGCCUCAGUUUCCCCCAUCAGAACACCUAAUAUACCAAAUCAUAAUUGCCUGACUGAGUUCAGAAGCCACACUUGUUCACUGCAUUAUCUCUGUGACCCAGUGCAUAGGAA